ACUAGGUCUGGUACAGGAGCACUAGGUCUGGUACAGGAGCACUAGGUCUGGUACAGGAGCACUAGGUCUGGUACAGGAGCACUAGGUCUGGUACAGGAGCACUAGGUCUGGUACAGGAGCACUAGGUCUGGUACAGGAGCACUAGGUCUGGUACAGGAGCACUAGGUCUGGUACAGGAGCACUAGGUCUGGUACAGGAGCACUAGGUCUGGUACAGGAGCACUAGGUCUGGUACAGGAGCACUAGGUCUGGUACAGGAGCACUAGGUCUGGUACAGGAGCACUAGGUCUGGUACAGGAGCACUAGGUCUGGUACAGGAGCACUAGGUCUGGUACAGGAGCACUAGGUCUGGUACAGGAGCACUAGGUCUGGUACAGGAGCACUAGGUCUGGUACAGGAGCACUAGGUCUGGUACAGGAGCACUAGGUCUGGUACAGGAGCACUAGGUCUGGUA